GCCCUGCUCAGAAUAGCACCUGGAGAUUUUCCAGUACUCUACCAGUCUCGGUUACGGGAGGGAGAGUCAAGCAGAGGCCUAUCCAUUCCAUUCCUAGCUUGGGCAGUGGCUAGUGAGUGGAAGGCAAUCUGUUCCAAGU